rnacentral:rRNA from 1 species
CCUACGGGGGGCAGCAGUAGGGAAUCUUCCACAAUGGGCGAAAGCCUGAUGGAGCAACGCCGCGUGGGUGAAGAAGGUCUUCGGAUCGUAAAACCCUGUUGUUAGAGAAGAAAGUGCGUGCGAGUAACUGUUCACGUUUCGACGGUAUCUAACCAGAACGCCACGGCUAACUCCGUGCCAGCAGCCGCGGUAAUACGUAGGUGGCAAGCGUUAUCCGGAUUUUUUGGGCGUAAAGGGAACGCAGGCGGGCUUUUAAGUCUGAUGUGAAAGCCUUCGGCUUAACCGGAGUAGUGCAUUGGAAACUGGGAGACUUGAGUGCAGAAGAGGGGAGUGGAACUCCAUGUGUAGCGGUGAAAUGCGUAGAUAUAUGGAAGAACACCAGUGGCGAAAGCAGCUCUCUGAUCUGUAACUGACGCUGAGGUUCGAAAGCGUGGGUAGCAAACAGGAUUAGAUACCCUAGUAGUC